UUGGCACCGGCGCGGCGGUAGGGGUCGGCGUCGCUGGCUUGGCUACUGGUGGGCUUGCUGGCUACGCUCUCGGCGGCGGGUUCAGUAGCGACAGUCCACCACGGGAGGAGGUAUCGGUCGCCGAAUUCGGUGGUGGCGAUGAUUGGAUGGAAUAAAUACAAAACAUACAUACCUAAUUAGUAUUUUAUAUAAUUAAGCAUCAGAACAAAGCAGUCGAGGUUUCGUAAAAGCGGAUGAUUUUUAGAUAAUCAGUAUUAUUUACAGAAUAUACACCGUUUUUUUCACACUGUGUGAGGCUUAGCCACACUGAGGGGUGAAUAUGUGGAUUAUACUGAACCAUUACCAAACUUGGCUCAGUAGUUAUGACGCGACGGUUGAUAACAAAACAGACAGAUACAUACGUAGACACUAGACAUAGAUAUAUAUAUAUCAUAUACAGGUUGGCAAAAGAAUAAGUGCAUUCCCGUUGCCAGGGAGGUUUUGGGAUUAUACUGAGCAACUUUUACUAUGGAACCAACCACGAAAUCGCGAAAAAAAUAAUUCACCCAUAGAAAAUGGAACAGCCAAAAUGUAUAAAACAGCCAAAUUUUCUUUCGCGAUUUCGGGGUUGGUCCCAUAGUAAAAGUUGCUCAGUAUAAUCCCAAAACCUCCUUGGCAACGAGAAUGCACUUAUUUUUAGGCCACCCGCAUACGAAACUGUUAUAGUCGUAAAAAGAUAAAUCUCUUCUACAAAACACCGACUGUUCAGCUUCAUUUAUGUAGGUAUUACUACGAAGUUAGCUUUAAAAUAUAUAGUAUUGUUACGAGUAAUAUUGGCAAUUGGUAAGAGAUAUUUUUAAGAUAAUUAUGUGAGAUGCCUUAAAGGAGCCUUGAAAUAAACAUUUUUAGAUCCCUAUGCUUUUCAUACAUCCAUACAAUAAUAUUAUAAAUGCGAAAGUCUGUCUGUGUGUUCCCUCUUCACGCUUAAACCGCUGAAUCGAUUUAAAUUAAAUUUGGCAUAGAGAUAGAUAAGUCCCUGAGCAGGACAUAGGAUAGUUUUUAUCCCGAAAAUCAUCCCUUAAGAAAGUAAAAAGCGGGGUGGAAUUGAGAUAAUUAAUUAAGUGCCUGCUAAUUUGUGUGCAUAAUAUGCUCAAGAAUUUUUCCAGGCGCUAUAUUUACUUUAGCUGCUGUUACUAAGUCCACGCAGACGAAGUCGCGGGCAAAAGCUAGUUAUCAAAUAAAUAGAAUAGAAUAGUAAAUGCGUGGUCAAUAAUGUACCAUCCUAAAUGGCUAAAAAGCUUAAGUUCAAGCGUUUUGUACAACAUAAUACAUGGUGCCUGUGCCUACUGUCUAGCCGAAACGUACGACAACUUGUCUUGCUAUUUCAGUCAGCAGUGCCGGCCCGACUCCUUGAUCAGGGUAGAGCGAAAUGAGGGCUAACGCGUAUGAAUUCGCCGCUAGGGGCGCUAGUGUAGAUGGUGGUCUUUUCCAUAGUUCUAAAUGUCAGAUGUCACUUUAAUGACUGACAGCUGUUCUUUAGUCUUUUGGACCACCAUCAACAGAGGCGCCAACUGGUAAGCAAAAAAACGAUAGCCCCCAUUGGGUUUUGGCGCCCUUCGUUGAAGUUUUUUACCCAAAAGCACAACGCGUCUUUUAAAACUUAUUUUUUUUCUCAUUUGCCAUUUUGGCGCCCCCAUUGCCAUCCGGCGCCUAGAGCGGCCGCUCCACUCGCUCUACCCUAGAUCCGGCCCUGUCAGUCAGUCUCGGUACAAAAAACCGGCCAAGUGCGAGUAGGACUCGCGUUCCAAGGGUUUCGACAAUUUAAACCCAUGUAUUUUUAUAUGAAACGUGAGUGAAAUAUCUUUUAAAAACCCGUAGGGGUCGGAACAAACGACUGCACAUUUCUAAUAGGUUUUCCGGUGAUCUAUAGGUAUAGAACUAUUUUGUGUACUUUUUUCAAAAUUUUUGACUUAGUAGUUUCGGAGAUAAAGGGGGGGGGAUGGUAAUCUUUUGCCUAUUUUCUUGAAUAACUUCUAAACUGUUUAUUCUAAAAUGAUAAAAAAAUAUAUAUUUGAUAUUCUCACAAUAAGCUCUUUCAUUUAAUAUGUAACAUGAUAUAGUUUGAAAAACUUUAUUUUUUAAUUUUCUCAUUUACCCCCAAAAGUGGCCCCCAUGUUUAAAAUUCAUUUGUUUAUGUUACAUGUCCGUCUUUGGGUCACAAACUUACAUAUGUGUACCAAAUUUCAACUUAAUUGGUCCAGUAGUUUCGGAGAAAAUUGGCUGUGACAGACGGAUAGACAGACGCACGAGUGAUCCUAUAAGGGUUCCGUUUUUUCCUUUUGAGGUACGGAACCCUAAAAAGUACUGAGGUUGACUGAAGUAGCAUGACAAAUACGAACGUUUCCGAGAAAAUACGAUGGAAAACAAUCAUGCACUACAUCUGUAACGAAAUGAGAAUGUAAAUUGGUCCAAAAUAGCUUUUUUUUUUCAAUCUUUUGUUGAGAAUAUCCAAAAAUAUGAUAUAUGACUGUUAAUUUAUAUGGGCUGCUGUAUAUUGCACUGCGUCGUUAAAAAAAAGCACGAAGUGUGAAAUUUGCGUAAAGAAAUUAUACGACGUUGUAUAGUUAAUGGUCUAUCUUUUUUUGUACUUAUUCGUGAUUUUUUUUAAUAAUUUUUAGGACUUCAUACAUACGUAAGCAGGAACUAGGAUUGCCCGACUCGUUUUGUAAGUGUCUAGCCUGCACCUCGGCUGGCAACUUGUCCCGGCCUAUAAUCUGUAGCGAUGUACACAAUCCUAAUAUUUUAAAGUCAUUUAGUUAUUUUCUUGUUAAAAUAUAUGUGGUAUUCAUUGUAUUUACAAAAUAAAUGCAAGCAUUUUCAUCUGUCGAUUUAAAUAGAAUAUUGCAUGCCAUUUAAUAAAUCAAUAUAUCGGUUUGUUGUGA